CAUCUCUCUACCCCCUGAUUGCCAGGGUUGGUUUGGCUGAUCUGGCUGCCUAGACAGGUG
rnacentral:snRNA from 1 species